AAUUGGCUGCAGUGGAUGUCAAUCAGAAAGAACGGCAUCAGUGAUUGGCUGCUGUUACAUCACCAUCUUCUACAUGCUGAUCACGUGACUGGAACAGGAAGCAGAAGCACGACCUCAUGUUCCAGAAACUUCACAAUUCUGUUUUAAUGAAGAGGACGUCUGGAAUCAUCUCAAAGUUCGUUUUGCACACACGAUGCUGGAAUCUUAUACUGCCAGUACUAUAUCAGUACUGUCAAAUUCAUCCUCACCAGAGAAUGAGAAGGAGUCCUAUAACAAAAUGUAUGAGAUGAAUGCCAAGAACCACCGAGCUUCAGCACCAACAGGAAACGACAAUG